CCCUACCCCUGGGCACAGACCUGGUCUCUUGUGGACAGGAGUCAGAAGGACCUGUGCCCACAUCCAGCUUUGCCACUCCUGCCGGCACACAAUCAUUAAUGAAGAUGUGAAGUGAGACACCAAUCCUCACAGCCCCCACCACGUGCCCCCUCCCAUGUCACGCUGCUGGAAUCAUUAUCCUUCCUGGUGUGACAGGGUCAGAACCAAACCAAUUUGCAUCAAUCUUUGGUGAUGUUGUGAAGUGUCGCCUGCCCUGCAGUCCUCAUGUUGUAACAACUGCUUCAGCUGUCUCUUCUGGAGCGUUCCUCUGUCCUUUGGAGGGCUGAUCAGAUCUGGCCACUCCAGCUCACCUGGCUGAAAGCCCCAGUUAACAUAACAGUUAAGCAGGAUUCAAGGCUGCACGUGGCUGACAUUUUCCCUUUGUUUUGCUCUCCUGAGCUGGACAGAAAGUAGCACCUCUUUGGGAAACAGGGCGGACAAGUGCACACGCUGGUGAAGUGGAGGAGGGAAUGGGUGUGGCAGGCACAAGAUUUUUCUUCCUCAUCCUGACAUCUAUUUCUGCUGAAGGAAAAGGAGGAGUGAGGUUCCUGGGGCCCCUCCAUGGCCUAGUCAGAUGCCUGGGCUUGUAUAUUCCGGGGACCUGGGGCUGGAUGAGGCAUUUCUUAGGACAAAGACCAUUCUUCUCCACGAUUUUUGUAUGUCAUCUGGCCCUGAUGCUUUCAUCUCUUCUUUAUCAAUUCCACAACUCUGCUUCUCAUCUCACAGGGAAACCAACUUUAUAUACACACUUGUCUCCCAAUAAAGGUGAGAACCAUCCCUUACACACUCCUGGCAUCCCUCAGAUUCCAACUUGCAAGGAAGUUUUCUUUUCUUCAUUUUCUUCCCUGAUGGUGCAGCGCCUCUGUCUGGCUAUCUGUGAUGAGAACAUGAAGACCAUUUCAGCCUCUGCCCUGACCCAGGCCU
rnacentral:lncRNA from 1 species